rnacentral:rRNA from 1 species
UCAGGAUGAACGCUGGCGGCGUGCCUAAUACAUGCAAGUCGAACGAAUCUCUUUUAGAGAUGAGUGGCGAACGGGUGAGUAAUACAUAGGUAACCUGCCCCUGUGCGGGGGAUAACAGGAGGAAACUCCUGCUAAUACCGCAUAGCCAUGAGCACCGCAUGGAGCUCAUGCCAAAUAUCCUUUCGGGGAUAGCGCAGGGAUGGACCUAUGGCGCAUUAGCUGGUUGGCGGGGCAACGGCCCACCAAGGCAACGAUGCGUAGCCGGCCUGAGAGGGCGGACGGCCACAUUGGGACUGAGACACGGCCCAGACUCCUACGGGAGGCAGCAGUAGGGAAUUUUCGGCAAUGGGGGAAACCCUGACCGAGCAACGCCGCGUGAGCGAAGAAGGCCUUCGGGUCGUAAAGCUCUGUUGUAAAGGAAGAACGGCGCAUACAGGAAAUGGUAUGCGAGUGACGGUACUUUACCAGAAAGCCACGGCUAACUACGUGCCAGCAGCCGCGGUAAUACGUAGGUGGCGAGCGUUAUCCGGAAUCAUUGGGCGUAAAGAGGGAGCAGGCGGCCGCAAGGGUCUGUGGUGAAAGACCGAAGCUAAACUUCGGUAAGCCAUGGAAACCGGGCGGCUAGAGUGCGGAAGAGGAUCGUGGAAUUCCAUGUGUAGCGGUGAAAUGCGUAGAUAUAUGGAGGAACACCAGUGGCGAAGGCGACGGUCUGGGCCGCAACUGACGCUCAUUCCCGAAAGCGUGGGGAGCAAAUAGGAUUAGAUACCCUAGUAGUCCACGCCGUAAACGAUGGUCACUAAGUGUCGGGGGUCAAACCCCGGUGCUGCAGUCAACGCAAUAAGUGACCCGCCUGAGUAGUACGUUCGCAAGAAUGAAACUCAAAGGAAUUGACGGAAGG